UACGUAGGGUGCAAGCGUUGUCCGGAAUUAUUGGGCGUAAAGAGCGUGUAGGCGGCCCGACCAGUCCGCUGUGAAAGUCCAGGGCUCAACCCUGGAAUGCCGGUGGAUACUGUCGGGCUAGAGUCCGGAAGAGGCGAGUGGAAUUCCUGGUGUAGCGGUGAAAUGCGCAGAUAUCAGGAGGAACACCAAUGGCGAAGGCAGCUCGCUGGGAUGGUACUGACGCUGAGACGCGAAAGCGUGGGGAGCAAACAGG
rnacentral:rRNA from 1 species